GUCGAGCGAGAAGUUCCUUCGGGAAUGAUUAAAGCGGCGGACGGGUGCGUACAACAUGGAUAACCUACCUUAAGGUCUGGGAUAACCUCGGGAAACCGAAGCUAAUACCGGAUAAGACCACAUUAUCUGCGGAUAAAGGGGUAAAAGUUUUUCGCCUUUAGAUGGGUCCAUGCUCCAUCAGGUUGUUGGUGAGGUAAAAGCUCACCAAGCCAAAGACGGAUAGCCGGCCUUAGCGGGUGAUCGGCCACAUGGGGACUGAGACACGGCCCCGACUCCUACGGGAGGCAGCAGUGGGGAAUAUUGGGCAAUGGGCGAAAGCCUGACCCAGCCAUGCCGCGUGAAGGAUGAAGGCCUUCGGGUCGUAAACUUCUGUCAGUAGGGACGAUGGGACUUCGGUCUUGACGGUACCUACAAAGGAAGCCCCGGCUAACUCCGUGCCAGCAGCCGCGGUAAUACGGAGGGGGCAAGCGUUGCUCGGAUUUACUGGGCGUAAAGCGCGCGUAGGCGGACCAGAAAGUUGGGGGUGAAAUCCCGGGGCUCAACCCCGGAACUGCCUUCAAAACUCCUGGUCUAGAGUUCGAGAGAGGUGAGUGGAAUUCCGAGUGUAGAGGUGAAAUUCGUAGAUAUUCGGAGGAACACCAGUGGCGAAGGCGGCUCACUGGCUCGAUACUGACGCUGAGGUGCGAAAGUGUGGGGAGCGAACA
rnacentral:rRNA from 1 species